rnacentral:rRNA from 1 species
AAAGGCCCCUUCGGGGGCCGAGUAGAGUGGCGCACGGGUGAGUAACACGUAGGUAAUCUACCUCUGGGUGGGGAAUAACGACCGGAAACGGUCGCUAAUACCGCAUAAUGCAGCGGCACCACAUGGUGACAGUUGUUAAAGCGGGGGAUCGUAAGACCUCGCGCCUAGAGAUGAGCCUGCGGCGGAUUAGCUAGUUGGCAGGGUAACGGCCUACCAAGGCGACGAUCCGUAGCCGGCCUGAGAGGGCGGACGGCCACACUGGCACUGACAUACGGGCCAGACUCCUACGGGAGGCAGCAGUCGGGAAUUUUGGGCAAUGGGCGAAAGCCUGACCCAGCAACGCCGCGUGAAGGAUGAAGCUUUUCGGAGUGUAAACUUCAUAAGAAUGGGACGAAUAAGGAGGGGUUAACACCCCCUUUGAUGACGGUACCAUUUGUAAGCUCCGGCUAACUCCGUGCCAGCAGCCGCGGUAAUACGGGGGGAGCAAGCGUUGUUCGGAUUUACUGGGCGUAAAGGGCGCGUAGGCGGCGCAACAAGUCACUUGUGAAAUCUCCGGGCUUAACCCGGAGCGGCCAAGUGAUACUGUCGUGCUAGAGUGCGGAAGGGGCUACUGGAAUUCUCGGUGUAGCGGUGAAAUGCGUAGAUAUCGAGAGGAACACCUGCGGCGAAGGCGGGUAGCUGGGCCGACACUGACGCUGAGGCGCGAAAGCCAGGGGAGCGAACGGGAUUAGAUACCCCGGUAGUCCUGGCCUUAAACGAUGGAUGCUUGGUGUCCGGGGUUACAUAGU